rnacentral:rRNA from 1 species
AGAACGAACGCUGGCGGCAUGCCUAAUACAUGCAAGUCGAACGAACUCUUCGGAGUUAGUGGCGCACGGGUGCGUAACGCGUGGGAAUCUGCCCCUUGGUUCGGAAUAACAGUUGGAAACGACUGCUAAUACCGGAUGAUGACGAAAGUCCGAAGAUUUAUCGCCAAGGGAUGAGCCCGCGUAGGAUUAGCUAGUUGUGAGGUAA